rnacentral:lncRNA from 1 species
GGAAACUCCAGGAGGCAGGAGACCACAGUUGUCUGUGCCCCUUUUUUUCCUGUCUAUGUCUGUGUCAGGCCAGAAUAUCAAAAAACACCUUGUCCAGCCCACCAUUUACAGACUGAGAAUAAGGCUCCUGAAUUUGCUAUGGAGCUAGGUCUCCACCCAGCACUUCACCCUUAAUUCCAACCCUGCCUCCCACCCUACACUUCUACCCUUGAAAUGUAACAAAAUCUUACAAGACAUCCAGAGUGUCUUCUUCCAGAGUGUGCCUCGCUUAGGGUGGGAAUCAUUGUUCCUCCUGUCUGCAGUGACAGCAGGUCCUGGAGGAGGACCUCAGGGGAUGUGUGCACUUUCAUUAUCUCAUUUCCAUUGUCCAAGUACCACUGCUGUUGGCCUUCAAGCUUUUGCAUUAUGUUCCUCUUUCCCUCCUGUCUUCCAUGUUUCCUGGAAGGCAGGACAACUGCCCAGUCUGUGCUGAUUUGGAAGAAGGGGAGGGUGACUGGGCAAGUGAGCUUGGGACCUUCCAGCAUUGGGGCUGGUAUAUGAACUGGGCAACCUGAUGAGUGUCUGGAGGUUCCUCAAAACGUUAGGCAUGGAACCAACAUAUGAACCAGCUGUACCUCAAAAAUUAAAGUUAUCACUCUGUGGUGAUACACACAUACCUGUGUUCAUAGCAGGACAAUCCAGAAUAGCUAAACUAUGGAACCAACCUCAGAGUCCAUCAAUGGAUGAAUGGAUAAAGAAAAUGUGGUAUGUAUCACAAUGGAGUUUUAUUCAGCCAUAAAGAAAAAUAAAAUUAUGUCAUUUGCAGGAAAAUGGAUGGAACUAGAGACCAUCAUGUUAAGAAAAAUUAGUCGAACUCCAGAGGAGAAGGGUCUUACAUUUCCUCUCCUAUGUGGAAGCCAGAGAAGAAAGGAAAAGAAAGGUGGGGGCGGAUCUCAUGAAAAUCAAGGGAAGAUCAGUAGAGGAAAGGGAACAAGAUGUAGGUGGUGGGGAGGGCGGGGGGAAGUACAGGGCAAUGAUAUUGGCCAAAUUAUAUUGUUGUAUCAUGUGCAUGCAUGAAUAUGUAACAACGAAUCCCAUCAUUGUACAACUAUAAUGUACCAAUAAAAAAAAUGGGUGGGAAAAAAAUGAAUUCAACCCCUUCCCUAAAAAAAGAAUCUACAAAAAAAUAAUUCUCUGCACUUUCCCUGGGAGCAUAGCACAGGUGACAGUCAGAGCACAGGUGACAGUGCUUCACAGCACUACAGAAACUCUGAAGAAGCCAGGAGUUUAUUGCCCAGGCAACCUUGAUCCUGGGCUCUACACCCAUCUCUAGAUGACACAACUCAGACUAAGUGACCUUCUCAGGAGACAAAAGAUGAGGUCCCUGAGGGCCUAACCCUGGGUUAACCUUCACCCACACAUAUUUCAUGAGAGUCUCUGAGCAACAUAAUGAUAGGACUUGUAGUAGCCCUAUUUUGUGGUCGGGAAGCCAAGGUUCAGAAAGGUCAAGGGGCUUGCCCAGGGACCCGCAGCCCAUCUGUCUUCAACAUGCAUACUCUGCACACAACACUUUCCUGUAGCUAUGGCCCACAUAUUGCCUAUGGCAUGGGAACAGUAUUUGGCCGUUAUGCAUGGGGUCAUCAAGUGUGAUAAUGUCUGAUAGCUCCACUGUGUAUGGGACAGUGUUGUCUACUCUGGUCACCUGUAAUGGCUUCCAGACUCCUGCUGGGGCUUCAAAAUGUACUUCUGGCUAUUCUGUUCUGUGGGGAAAAGAUAGGGUGUGUCAGGUUGCACAUCCCACAGUUAGGAUCAAACCCUGCUCUAUUUGACCCUCUUGGGCUCUGGGCCUUCUCCAGCUGCUGGUGCCAUGGGCAGCUACACAGAUCUGACAAGCUGGAUGUUAUGGUUUAGAUGUGAGGUGUCUCCCCAGAGCUCAUGUGUGAGACAAUCCAAGAGGGUUAGAGGUGAAAUGAUUGGGUGAUGAGACCUUUACACAAAAGUGAGUUAAUCCCUUAAUGUAGAUUAAUUGGGUGGCAACAGUAGGCAGGUAGGAGAUGACUGGAGGAGGUGGGUCACUGAGGGGCAUGCCUUUGGGGUAUAUGUUUUGCUCUGGGUGAGUAGAGCUCUCUCCCUGCUUCCUGGUGGCCAAGUGCUGAGCCACAUUCCUCCACCACACUCUUCCUCCAUGAUGUCCUGCCUUACCUUGGGACCUGAAGAAUGGAGUCAGCUGUUUAUGUAC